ensembl:lncRNA
GAGGAAGAGGUAGAGGAGGAGGAGGCCGAAGAGGCCAUGCACGGACCCAUAUUUCUGAUGAAAUAAGAGCAACUUUGGUGGACCAUGUCAUCAACCAUGGCCUGACUAUGAGGGAAGCUGGGCAGAGAGUCCACCCACAUCUAAGCCGCUUCACAGUGGCAUCUGUAAUACGAACAUUCCGACUAGAAAACAGGUAUGUCUUCACCUCCAUACCUUCUGCUCUACUCAGAUGGUUCCAUAGCACUGUUCUACAGUAUAUCACAUUACCAUAUCAAGUGUACGGGGUGCUAAUGCUCCUUUUGCAGCCAAAGUGGCUGAUUCCUCAUAUUGAAGUACAGUGUUGUACAGUGGAUGACACAGUACAUACAGUAAAGUACUGUAUGAAAAAUAAGCAAACCGAUGACAAUAUGUGGUUGUAUUCCUCCAGAAUGACCCGAAGACCUUCUGGGGGUGGACGGCAACGCCUGUUCACACAACAGCAGGAACUUGCCGUUGUGGACCUAGUGAGGGCAGACAAUGCCAUCCGUCUCCACCAGCUACGACGGACAAUACUUGCAGACAGGCGAGUGUUCAGCAACAUAGACCAUGUGAGCAUCACCACCAUCAGACGCAUCUUGGGUAAACACAGCAUCACCAUGAAGCAGCUCUACAGAGUCCCAUUCGAGAGGAACAGUGACAGGGUCAAAGGACUUCGAGCUGAAUAUGUACGGAGGAUCAUGGCCAUGGAUGGAGCUGCACAGCCUCAUGAAUACAUUUUCAUUGAUGAAGCUGGAUUCGACCUGAGCAAAACAAGACGACGGGGUCGUAAUGUGAUUGGCCACAGGGCAAUUGUGCACGUCCCAGGGCAGCGCGGGGGAAACAUCACAUUAUGUGCCGCCAUAUGCCUUCGAGGACUUCUGCACCAUCAUGCAAUGCUAGGUCCAUACAAUAGCCAACACAUACUCACAUUUCUAGAUGCUCUCCAUAACAUAGUUGUACAGAACAGAGCAGAUCAGCCCAGGUUUGUGGUGAUAUGGGAUAAUGUCAGUUUCCAUCGGGCUGCUCUGGUCCAGGCCUGGUUCACCGACCACAAUCAAUUUGAGGUGGUAUACUUGCCCCCUUACUCACCAUUUUUAAACCCUAUUGAGGAAUUUUUUUCGGCUUGGAGAUGGCGAGUAUAUGACCGCCAACCACAUGCCCGCAUGCCUCUUCUGCAGGCAAUGGAACAGGCCUGCGGCGACAUUGAGGUGACAGCGAUCCAUGGAUGGUUUCGGCAUGCAAGAGGGUAUUUUCCCCGGUGCCUAGCGGGAGAGGACAUAGCUUGCGAUGUUGAUGAGGUCCUGUGGCCAGACCCCAACAGACGGCGGGAUCCAUGAGCCCACUUAUGCACACUUGUCAUGGUUUUUUGUGUUUACAGUAUAGUGUUUUUUCUAUUGCAGUAUUAUUGUGUUGUGGUUUUUUUUUUUUUGCUUCAUCUGAAUUCAUGGUACUGCGAUGUACACUAUUGAGUAGGUCUAUUUGCGUUUUUGGUUGUUUGGAAAUGUGUCUCCUGUAAAUGUGCCUUCUGAAUACACAAUGGAAAUCAAGGACUGCAGUGUUU